GGGUGUGAGGGCAAUCUGGCUGUGACAUCUGUCACCCUAUUGAUCGCCAGAGUUGAUUUGGCUGGCUAGGAGGAUGUCCCCUUCUUCCCUCACCGCUCCAUGUGCAUCCCUCCCGAAACUGCGUGCUUUGUCGAAGAGGAUGACCUUCCCCUAUAUAGGAGAGGACCGCUCUUUGUCAAGGGUAUACGAGUAGUCGUGCUCUCCUGCUAGAACCUCCAAACAAGCACUCAAAUAUUUGUUAGAAUAAAUGAAUGAACUAAACAAGUCUUUCGUUUCAGGGAUUUAUAGCUAAUCACCGUGGUAAAAU
rnacentral:snRNA from 1 species